ACUCCGGUGGUGGAAUUGGCAUACACAGCCGACUGCUACUCGGCCGGUCAGUCCGCGAGGCGAUCAUGUGGGUUCGAAUCCCGCCCGGAGCA
rnacentral:tRNA from 1 species